GACGAACGCUGGCGGCGCGCUUAACACACGCAAGUCGAACGGAAAGGCCUGCUUUCCCUUGUGGAUUGCGGGUACUCGAGUGGCGAACGGGUGAGUAACACGUGAGUGAUCUGCCCCCAACUUGGGUAUAAGCCUGGGAAACUGGGUCUAAUUCCCGAUAGGACUGCAGGGUGGUGCCUGUGGUGGAAAACGAUUUUCUAGUGGUUGGGGAUGAGCUCGCGGCCUAUCAGCUUGUUGGUGGGGUAAUGGCCUACCAAGGCGGCGACGGGUAGCCGGCCUGAGAGGGUGGACGGCCACAUUGGGACUGAGAUACGGCCCAGACUCCUACGGGAGGCAGCAGUGGGGAAUAGUGCACAAUGGGCGGAAGCCUGAUGCAGCGACGCCGCGUGGGGGAUGACGGCCUUCGGGUUGUAAACUCCUUUCGACCGCGAGGAAGCCACCUGGUUGGAAGGGUGGUGACGGUAGUGGUAGAAGAAGCACCGGCUAACUACGUG
rnacentral:rRNA from 1 species